rnacentral:rRNA from 1 species
GAUCAUGGCUCAGGAUGAACGCUAGCUACAGGCUUAACACAUGCAAGUCGCGGGGCAGCAGGUACAGAAGCUUGCUUCAGUACGCUGGCGACCGGCGCACGGGUGAGUAACGCGUAUCCAACCUGGCCCAUACCACGGGGACAGCCCGUCGAAAGGCGGAUUAAUACCGUAUGCAGUCAUUAGGGAGCAUUUUUUGAUGACGAAAGGNUUAGGCGGUAUGGGAUGGGGAUGCGU